rnacentral:sRNA from 1 species
AAAUCCCCGAGAAGCAGCGGUGUCCCCAGCCUCUCACUCGGAGCCGAUAUGGGGAGUAAAGGCUCAGAUCGACCAAUAUGUGGGGUUGGUGACCAAUCAGUUGAGCCACAUCAAAGCUAAGAUCCGAGCUAAAAUCCCAGGGACCGGAGCCCUGGCCUCUGCAGCAGCCGCAGUCUCCGGAUCCAAAGCCAAAGCCGAAUGAGAACGGUGUCUCUGCCCGCAGGACGC